AUUUUCCUUAAAAGAGUUACGAAACAUUUCCAUCGUUCAGAUUUUCAAUAAGAUCAUUCGUAUUUUUUCCAGUGUUGAAUCCGGGUGUACUUCAGGGAGGGGUGAGGAAAUGCCUACUUGGAAUUUAAUACGCUUCUCUGGCGACAACUGCCAAUAAAAUGAAAAAAAGUGAGCAACGCCCCAGGAAAAUUGUCUGGAUUCAACACUGUUUUUCAUCACGUUAUUUCUACUACGUCAUCGGUCAUAUCGAUCGGACUGAAGACCAAAAUGUUCGU